ensembl:lncRNA
AAAAGACCUUUUAGGCCAACGACCACUUGAGAUGUCCCUGAUUCCUCCGUGUUUCACUCACUGGCUCCUGGCUCCUGGAAUCUGUUGGACCUGUAUUUGCAUUCACCAUUUCUCAGGAGGGAAAUGAUUCUAGUGACCUCACUGUGGGGAGACAGGAGUUUCUGGCCUCCCCACCCCAAGAUCUGUGUGAAGAACCUAAACGGAAAGAGUCAAGAUUUAGGAUGAACGAGAGGAGCUGGUGUCUUUCUGAAUUUUGUAUGAAGCACUUAUUCCUGUGUCAUUGCCAAAGACCUCUGGGAAAAGUGAACAGGAUCUCCCUAUUAAUGUUGAUCUCCACUCCUUGCCAUUAAUUGUGAAAGCCAUCAUAUUACAACAGUUUAGCUCAAUUUCAACCUUGAACCUGGAGUACUCCAAAUCCAAAGGUGGGAUUCAGCAACUGAGACAAAAACCAUUAUAUGCUUCCACGAUGAAGUUAUACAUCCAUAUCACUGAUUGACUUGGUGGUAAAUUUGAAAUGUUUGCCAUUAUUGGGUUGCUUUAGUUUUUGUUCAAAGUACUUAAAGAUAGGGUUUAGUCUGGUUUUUGUUGCUGGUCUCAGAAAACUAAACCUGCCUGAAGGUAGAUGAGUCAAAGAAGUAGAUCCGUGAAAGAGGUAAUUAGAACAAUCAG